UAGGGAAUCUUCGGCAAUGGACGAAAGUCUGACCGAGCAACGCCGCGUGAGUGAAGAAGGUUUUCGGAUCGUAAAACUCUGUUGUUAGAGAAGAACAAGGAUGAGAGUAACUGUUCAUCCCUUGACGGUAUCUAACCAGAAAGCCACGGCUAACUACGUGCC
rnacentral:rRNA from 1 species